CUUCAGAGGUCUUGUGGAGUCCAUGCGCAAGUUGGUCAGGACUGUUUUGCGAGCACAAGGGGGACCUACACAACAUCAGAUGUGAGGUUUGGGAUCCACUCACUACCCAGGACUACACCACAUAACUACUACAAGAUUGGACAAGCACCCUGGGACACACUUCACUUCGAAACAUGCUGCAGAUUUUUACAGCCUGAGGGACAGUGAGAGACCAAAUGUCCUGCACAACAUGAGCUCUUUAUUUAGUUAUCUCUAGAUGACAUUUAGUUGUUAUUUCUGUUUGUGUGUUUUCUGAAUGAAUGAUUGAUUGAUUUAAUAUAUUGAUGUGUCAUGGGAU
ensembl:lncRNA